rnacentral:lncRNA from 1 species
AUAAUAAUAAGAAGAAGAAGAAGAAGAAGAAGAAGAAGAAGAAGAAGAAGAAAGAGAAAAAUAGGAGAGAGGGGAAGAAGAAAGAAGAGGAAAAAGGAAAAGAAGGAAGAAGAAGAAGAAUAAGAACAUGAAAAAGUAAAAGAAGGAAGAAGAAGAAGAAGAAGAAGAAGAAGAAGAAGAAGAAGAAGAAGAAACAAAAGAAAAGGAAGAAGAAGAAAAGGAAGUAGAGGAAAAAAAGAAGAGGAAUAAGAAGAAAAGACACCCUGACACCCCAACACGAUGC